GCGGGUUUAGCUCAGUUGGGAGAGCGUCAGACUGAAGCCAAACUUCAAUCAUUAAAUCUGAAGGUCGUGUGUUCGAUCCACACAAACCGCA
rnacentral:tRNA from 1 species